ACUUAUGAUUUCUUGAAAUACGAGAUUUAAUAACUAUUGCUCAUCGGGAAAGUGCGAAAGCUGAUACUAGAGCCUUGCGAGGUUUCGAUCGGCAUUCAAGGUGAAGAAUGUCUGUCGAGGCUUCGUGACGGUUGUCACGGGCUCGAUGAGAGUUUCGGGUCAUGACAACGAGUCCACUAUCUAUUAGGAUUUCGGUUCUACUAUAAGUAAAUGCAUAAUUGCGAGAUCAAGAUUUAAAUAAUGAUUAAACUUAAAUUUGAUUCUCACAUGAUUUCAGUUCAUGUUAUAGUGUCAUUACUUGAAGUAAACUAUUUUGAUGAUUUGAGACUCAUUAUUCCCUUGAAGUGAAUCGCGUUCAUUUCGUUGGAAGUAAUCUGGACACUAUCCCCUUAACACAAUAAAGUGAUCAGCUUUAUUAUAUGGCUGUGAAUAAUUUUUAGAUUUAAUUAAAAUGCAU
rnacentral:lncRNA from 1 species